rnacentral:rRNA from 1 species
GAUGAACGCUGGCGGCGUGCCUAAUACAUGCAAGUCGAGCGAACAGAUGAGGAGCUUGCUCCUCUGACGUUAGCGGCGGACGGGUGAGUAACACGUGGAUAACCUACCUAUAAGACUGGGAUAACUUCGGGAAAUCGGAGCUAAUACCGGAUAAUAUAUUGAACCGCAUGGUUCAAUAGUGAAAGACGGUUUUGCUGUCACUUAUAGAUGGAUCCGCGCCGCAUUAGCUAGUUGGUAAGGUAACGGCUUACCAAGGCAACGAUGCGUAGCCGACCUGAGAGGGUGAUCGGCCACACUGGAACUGAGACACGGUCCAGACUCCUACGGGAGGCAGCAGUAGGGAAUCUUCCGCAAUGGGCGAGAGCCUGACGGAGCAACGCCGCGUGAGUGAUGAAGGUCUUCGGAUCGUAAAACUCUGUUAUUAGGGAAGAACAAAUGUGUAAGUAACUAUGCACGUCUUGACGGUACCUAAUCAGAAAGCCACGGCUAACUACGUG